GAUGAAGAACGUAGCGAAAUGCGAUAAGUAAUGUGAAUUGCAGAAUUCAGUGAAUCAUCGAAUCUUUGAACGCACCUUGCGCCCUUUGGCCAUUCCGAAGGGCAUGCCUGUUUGAGUAUCAUGAACACCUCAACUCUUCAUGGUUUUCCAUGAUGAGCUUGGACUUUGGGGGUCUUGCUGGCCUGUGGGUCGGCUCCUCUCAAAUGAAUCAGCUUGCCGGUUUUUGGUGGGCAUCACAGGUGUGAUAACUAUCUACGCUUGUGGUUUUCCACCAGGGUAACCUUCAGCAGUGGAGGUUCACUGGAGCUUACAAAUGUCUCUUCUCUGUGAGGACAGCCCUUUGAAUGUUUGAUCUCAAAUCAGGUAGGACUACCCGCUGAACUUAAGCAUAUCAAUAAGCGGAGGA
rnacentral:misc_RNA from 1 species